rnacentral:rRNA from 1 species
AGUGAACGCUGGCGGCAGGCCUAACACAUGCAAGUCGAGCGGAAACACAGUAAGAUCUUGCUCUUACGGUUGGCGAGUGGCGGGCGGGUGAGGAAUAGAUCGGAAUCUACUUUUUCGGGGGGGACAACGGAGGGAAACAUACGCUAAUACCGCAUACGUCCAACCGCUGAGUUCAAGAGAGCAUGGGACCUUUGCCGAUUGUAUUAGCCGAUUCCGGAUUAGCUAGUUGGCGGGGUAAGGGCCCACCAAGGCAACGAUCCGUAGCUGGCCUGAGAGGAUGAUCAGCCACACUGGAACUGAGACACGGUCCAGACUCCUACGGGAGGCAGCAGUGGGGAAUCUUGGACAAUGGGCGCAAGCCUGACGGAGCCAUGCCGCGUGAGUGAAGAAGGUCUUCGGGUCGUAAAGCUCUUUUAUUAGGAAAGAAAAGAAGUAGAUUUAUACCUCGCUGUCCUGACGGUACCCAAACAAUAAGCCCCGGCUAACUUCGUG